rnacentral:rRNA from 1 species
GAUGAACGCUAGCGGGAGGCCUAGCACAUGCAAGCCGAGCGGUAGAGUUCCUUCGGGGACUUGAGAGCGGCGCACGGGUGCGAAACACGUGUGCAACCUGCCUUUAUCUGGGGGAUAGCCUUUCGAAAGGAAGAUUAAUACCCCAUAAUAUAUUGAUUCGCAUGGAUUGAUAUUGAAAACUCCGGUGGAUAAAGGUGGGCACGCGCAAGAUUAGAUAGUUGGUGAGGUAACGGCUCACCAAGUCAGUGAUCUUUAGGGGGCCUGAGAGGGUGAUCCCCCACACUGGUACUGAGACACGGACCAGACUCCUACGGGAGGCAGCAGUGAGGAAUAUUGGACAAUGGGUGAGAGCCUGAUCCAGCCAUCCCGCGUGAAGGAUGACGGCCCUAUGGGUUGUAAACUUCUUUUGUACAGGGAUAAACCUAGAUACGUGUAUCUAGCUGAAGGUACUGUACGAAUAAGCACCGGCUAACUCCGUGCCAGCAGCCGCCGUAAUAC